GAUGAACGCUGGCGGCGUGCUUAACACAUGCAAGUCGAACGAGGUCCAUGGAGCUUGCUCCGGAAGACCUAGUGGCGAACGGGUGCGUAACACGUGAGAAACCUGCCCCGAUCUCUGGGAUAACAGUUGGAAACGACUGCUAAUACCGGAUGCCGUCACACCGCUUCAUGGCGGAGUGCCGAAAGAUUUAUCGGAUCGGGAGGGUCUCGCGGCCUAUCAGCUAGUUGGAGAGGUAACGGCUCACCAAGGCAUCGACGGGUAGCUGGUCUGAGAGGAUGAUCAGCCACACUGGGACUGAGACACGGCCCAG
rnacentral:rRNA from 1 species